GGCUUCCUGGCAGAGAGCUCCUUUCUCCAGCUUCAGCGGCUGCAGAUUCAUGCUCAAGGUGACAAUGGGUUAGAUGGAACCGUAUGCCAAUCUUUGGAGCCAGGCAUAAGGCCUCACUCUGUCACCCAGGCCGGAGUACAGUGAUGCAAUCAUGGCUCACUGCAGCCUCCACAUCCCAGGCUUAAGUGAUCCCCCCACCUCAGCCUCCUGAGUAUCUGGGACUGCAGAAAAGCUGGUUCUCCACCGGACGGUGUAAAGUCGCACCUCAGACGUCUU